GGGAGCGGGGCCGGGCAGCCCGGGGGUCUGGGGGGACCUGGGGGGGGCCUGGGGGGACCUGGGGGGGCCUGAGGGGGUGGGAGGGAGUACCCGGCAGGCGGCCCCCGGGUGCGCAGGGCCGAGCUCUGGGACCUCCCGUCGGUGCCCCGGACCAGCUGCGUCGAGGCCUGCGCCCAUCGCCUCCUCGAGCUUCCUCAGAGGGCGUUGGCCCUGCUGCCCGCCCGCAAAUCCAUCCCGGUCCCCGUCCCCACGAGGGUGGCCCGAGGGCCCGAGGAUGAACGGGGGUCGCAAAGCGCAGGAGGGCCCAGGUGGAGCUGGAGGCGCUGGGAAGCUGUCCCUCGGGCCACCACAAGAAGAGUGUCUUCAGCGAGUUGGUUUGGGAAACUCGGCUCCUGGAGAGGCGGUUGUGGGGGGCUGCGGGUGGGGCGCUGGGCCCAGCCCGGAGCAGGACCGGGCGCCGUGUUACCCCGUCGGCCACCUGAGGGUGAAGUCCCCAUCCAGGCUCCUCCGUCCGUCGCAGGAGGCCCCGAGCCGCUGUUCUCCGCCUUCACCGGGGAGAUGCAGGUGCCCCUCAGAACUGCGGGGUGAAAUGAGGGGCGGAAUUCAAGACCUAGCGCUCCCUCCUUUAAAAGGAAGGCUGAUGCUGCUGUGCGUAGACGCGCCUCCUGCCCGUGCGGACCCUCCCCGACCUGAGGAAAAGCCCGGCCCGGGCGCACCGGAGGUCUCCUUGCUCAGAACUGCGGCAGGAGCUCGAGGAUGUUGA
rnacentral:lncRNA from 12 species